rnacentral:rRNA from 1 species
GACGAACGCUGGCGGCGUGCCUAAUACAUGCAAGUUGAGCGCUGAAGGUUGGUACUUGUACCAACUGGAUGAGCAGCGAACGGGUGAGUAACGCGUGGGGAAUCUGCCUUUGAGCGGGGGACAACAUUUGGAAACGAAUGCUAAUACCGCAUAAAAACUUUAAACACAAGUUUUAAGUUUGAAAGAUGCAAUUGCAUCACUCAAAGAUGAUCCCGCGUUGUAUUAGCUAGUUGGUGGGGUAAAGGCUCACCAAGGCGAUGAUACAUAGCCGACCUGAGAGGGUGAUCGGCCACAUUGGGACUGAGACACGGCCCAAACUCCUACGGGAGGCAGCAGUAGGGAAUCUUCGGCAAUGGACGAAAGUCUGACCGAGCAAUGCCGAGUGAGUGAAGAAGGGUUUCGGAUCGUAAAACUCUGUUGGUAGAGAAGAACGUUGGUGGGAGUGGAAAGCUCAUCAAGUGACGGUAACUACCCAGAAAGGGACGGCUAACUACGUG